rnacentral:rRNA from 1 species
GAUGAACGCUGGCGGCGUGCUUAACACAUGCAAGUCGAACGGUGAAGCAGAGCUUGCUCUGUGGAUCAGUGGCGAACGGGUGAGUAACACGUGAGCAACCUGCCCCUGACUCUGGGAUAAGCGCUGGAAACGGCGUCUAAUACUGGAUAUGAGAUGCGACCGCAUGGUCAGCAGUUGGAAAGAUUUUUCGGUCUGGGAUGGGCUCACGGCCUAUCAGCUUGUUGGUGAGGUAAUGGCUCACCAAGGCGUCGACGGGUAGCCGGCCUGAGAGGGUGACCGGCCACACUGGGACUGAGACACGGCCCAGACUCCUACGGGAGGCAGCAGUGGGGAAUAUUGCACAAUGGGCGAAAGCCUGAUGCAGCAACGCCGCGUGAGGGAUGACGGCCUUCGGGUUGUAAACCUCUUUUAGCAGGGAAGAAGCGAAAGUGACGGUACCUGCAGAAAAAGCGCCGGCUAACUACGUG